GGGUGGGAGGGGGUAACUUGGGGGUUGUUUCCGUAUGGGGGGUACGCGGAGGGAUCAUUACCGAGUUUACAACUCCCAAACCCAAUGCGAACGUUACCAAACUGUUGCCUCGGCGGGAUCUCUGCCCCGGGUGCGUCGCAGCCCCGGACCAAGGCGCCCGCCGGAGGACCAACCAAAACUCUUAUUGUAUACCCCCUCGCGGGUUUUUUUAUAAUCUGAGCCUUCUCGGCGCCUCUCGUAGGCGUUUCGAAAAUGAAUCAAAACUUUCAACAACGGAUCUCUUGGUUCUGGCAUCGAUGAAGAACGCAGCGAAAUGCGAUAAGUAAUGUGAAUUGCAGAAUUCAGUGAAUCAUCGAAUCUUUGAACGCACAUUGCGCCCGCCAGUAUUCUGGCGGGCAUGCCUGUCCGAGCGUCAUUUCAACCCUCGAACCCCUCCGGGGGGUCGGCGUUGGGGAUCGGCCCUCCCUUAGCGGGUGGCCGUCUCCGAAAUACAGUGGCGGUCUCGCCGCAGCCUCUCCUGCGCAGUAGUUUGCACACUCGCAUCGGGAGCGCGGCGCGUCCACAGCCGUUAAACACCCAACUUCUGAAAUGUGACCUCGAUCAGGGUAGGAAUCCCCAAUUC
rnacentral:rRNA from 1 species